rnacentral:rRNA from 1 species
CGUAGGGUGCGAGCGUUAAUCGGAAUUACUGGGCGUAAAGGGUGCGCAGGCGGCGUCGCAAGUCAGGCGUGAAAUCCCCGGGCUUAACCUGGGAAUUGCACUUGAAACUACGAUGCUGGAGUAUGGCAGAGGGAGGUGGAAUUCCACGUGUAGCGGUGAAAUGCGUAGAGAUGUGGAGGAACACCGAUGGCGAAGGCAGCCUCCUGGGCCAAUACUGACGCUCAUGCACGAAAGCGUGGGGAGCAGACAGGAUUAGAUACCCUGGUAGUCCACGCCCUAAACGAUGAUGACUAGUUGUUGGAGGAGUUAAAUCCUUUAGUAACGCAGCUAACGCGAGAAGUCAUCCGCCUGGGGAGUACGGUCGCAAGAUUA